UAGCAAAGGUAACAUGCCACGUCCAAACAUAGUGCUUCUUUAUGGAUGGGUAAGCUAGGAUUGGUUCCACAGCAACCAAGUUAAGGAAAGAACUAAUGACUUCAGAUGCUAUCUGUAAGCAUAUCUUUACCCACACAAAGUGUACUGAUCAAUAUGUUAAAUUUCUAAUACAAGUUUAAUGUUGUUUUCCUUUAAAAAAGUAACGCUUAUAAACAAUUAAGAGUAUUGAAAAAUCCACCA
rnacentral:lncRNA from 1 species